rnacentral:rRNA from 1 species
GUGUUCAAAGCAGGCAGAUCCAAUUUUCUGCCACCGAAUACAUUAGCAUGGGAUAAUGGAAUAGGACCCUGUCCUCCUAUUUUCAGUUGGUUUUGGCAGCGCGAGGACUAGGGUAAUGAUUAAUAGGGAUAGUUGGGGGCAUUAAUAUUUAAUUGUCAGAGGUGAAAUUCUUGGAUUUAUGAAAGAUUAACUUCUGCGAAAGCAUCUGCCAAGGAUGUUUUCAUUAAUCAAGAACGAAAGUUAGGGGAUCGAAGACGAUCAGAUACCGUCGUAGUCUUAACCAUAAACGAUGCCGACCAGCGAUUAGGAGACGUUGAAUACAAAACACCACCAUCGGCGCGGUCGUCCUUGGCGUCGGUCCUUCACGGGGCCGGCGCGAGGGCGGCUUAGCCCGGUGG